CAUCGCGACUUACCAAACCAUGGCAAACUCUGAAUACCGUCAAGUGCGAGCAUGGGAGACAGACUGUGGGUGCUAACGUCCAUGGUCAAGAGGGAAACAACCCAGAUCGCCGUCUAAGGUCCCAAAUAAUCAGUUAAGUGGAAAACGAGGUGGGAAGGCAUAGACAGCCAGGAUGUUGGCUUAGAAGCAGCCAUCAUUUAAAGAAAGCGUAAUAGCUCACUGGUCGAGUCGUCCUGCGCGGAAGAUGUAACGGGGCUCAAACUGAUAACCGAAGACGCGAAUAUGCACGAUGUGCAUAUGGUAGAGGAGCGUUCCGUAGGCCUGCGAAGGUGUCUUGAGAAGGAUGCUGGAGGUAUCGGAAGUGCGAAUGCUGACAUGAGUAGCGAUAAUGCGGGUGAAAAGCCCGCACACCGAAAACCCAAGGUUUCCUGCGCAACGUUCAUCGGCGCAGGGUGAGUCGGCCCCUAAGGCGAGGCAGAAAUGCGUAGUCGAUGGACAACGGGUUAAUAUUCCCGUACCGAUAUAAAGUGCGAUGGGGGGACGGAGAAAGGUAGGUCAGCCCACUGUUGGAAUAGUGGGUUUAAGCGAGUAGGCGUGUGGCUUAGGCAAAUCCGGGCUGCUUUAACGCUGAGACGUGACGACGAAGUCUUCGGACUGAAGUGAUUGAUCCUAUGCUUCCAAGAAAAGCCUCUAAGCUUCAGCUUUAUAUUGACCGUACCGCAAACCGACACAGGUGGGUAGGAAGAGAAUUCUAAGGUGCUUGAGAGAACUCAGGAGAAGGAACUCGGCAAAUUAUCACCGUAACUUCGGGAGAAGGUGAGCCCAUAUUAGGUGAAGGCCCUUGCGGCUGGAGCUGACAUGGGUCGCAGAGAAAUGGGGGCUGCGACUGUUUAUCAAAAACACAGCACUCUGCAAAGUCGAAAGACGACGUAUAGGGUGUGACGCCUGCCCGGUGCUGGAAGAUUAAAUGAUGGGGUGCAAGCUCUUGACUGAAGUCCCAGUAAACGGCGGCCGUAACUAUAACGGUCCUAAGGUAGCGAAAUUCCUUGUCGGGUAAGUUCCGACCCGCACGAAUGGCGUAACGAUGGCCCUACUGUCUCCUCCUGAGACUCAGCGAAGUUGAAAUGUUUGUGAAGAUGCAAUCUCCCCGCUGCUAGACGGAAAGACCCCGUGAACCUUUACUGUAGCUUUGCAUUGGACUUUGAAGUGGUUUGUGUAGGAUAGGUGGGAGACAUUGAAGCAUGGACGCUAGUCUGUGUGGAGUCGUCCUUGAAAUACCACCCUGACCCCUUUGAGGUUCUAACCUUGGUCCGUUAUCCGGAUCGGGGACCGUGCAUGGUAGGCAGUUUGACUGGGGCGGUCUCCUCCCAAAUUGUAACGGAGGAGCUCGAAGGUCGCCUAGGUACGGUCGGACAUCGUACUGAUAGUGUAAUGGCAUAAGGCGGCUUAACUGCGAGACAGACAAGUCGAGCAGGUGCGAAAGCAGGACAUAGUGAUCCGGUGGUUCUGAAUGGAAGGGCCAUCGCUCAACGGAUAAAAGGUACUCCGGGGAUAACAGGCUGAUUCCGCCCAAGAGUUCACAUCGACGGCGGAGUUUGGCACCUCGAUGUCGGCUCAUCACAUCCUGGGGCUGUAGCCGGUCCCAAGGGUAUGGCUGUUCGCCAUUUAAAGUGGUACGUGAGCUGGGUUCAAAACGUCGUGAGACAGUUUGGUCCCUAUCUGCAGUGGGCGUUGGAAAUUUGAGGGGGGCUGCUCCUAGUACGAGAGGACCGGAGUGGACAGAUCUCUGGUGUACCGGUUGUCACGCCAGUGGCAUCGCCGGGUAGCUAAAUCUGGAAGAGAUAAGCGCUGAAAGCAUCUAAGCGCGAAACUCGCCUCAAGAUGAGAUUUCCCCAAGGCUUUAAGCCUUUUAAAGGGUCGUUCGAGACCAGGACGUUGAUAGGUCGGGUGUGGAAGCGCAGUAAUGCGUUAAGCUAACCGAUACUAAUUGCCCGUAAGGCUUGAUCCU
rnacentral:rRNA from 1 species